rnacentral:lncRNA from 1 species
AGAUAGCAGAAGGAAACAGCCACUAUGCCUGGCUUGAGCAUGUGAGACCUCAGAUUCCUGCCCCCAGUGACACACUUCCUCCAACAAGGCCAUACCUCCUAGUAGUGUCACUUCCUGUGGGCCUAUGGGGGCCAUUUUCUUUCAAGUCACAACAAAGGAUGUGAACCGCAGCUGAGAAGACAGAAGCAACUAUGAGACCAAAACAGGAACAUGAACAAUACACCUCGCAAGUUAAUGGGAAACUAAAACAGGAAAAAUACACCUUGCAAGUUAAGGAUUCCAUUUGCAAUUAAGACAGUUAAGAAUAUGUUCCGGUGGGGCUGGUGAGAUGACUCAGCGGGUAAGAGCACUGAUUGCCCUUCCGAAGGUCCUGAGUUCAAAUCUCAGCAACCGCAUGGUGGCUCACAACCACCUGUAAUGAGAUCUGAUGCGUCUUCUGUCUUCUGGUGUGUCUGAAGACAGCUACAGUGUACUUAUGUAUUAUAAUAAAUAAAGCUUUGGGCUGGAGUGAGCGAACAG